UUAUAUAUAAAUUAAGGGAGUUGUAUCACUUGCUGUCACAAAACAAGCAAAUAGUCCUCUUCUGGACACCAGCCCACAUUGGUGUGAAUGUUUAGUAUUCAAAGGAUGGUCCUUGUAGAUCAACUUUUAAGUAUUUUUAAAACUGCUGAA